AAAUCAUUUCCUAUAUGAUUCAUUCAAUCCAUUUACAGGGUGGAAAGUAUGGAAAAAUUUAUUAAGUUUGUUUAUGUUCUAUUCAUAUAUUUUUCUCUUCUUAUUUUUACACCCAUCGUCAAUGGGGGAGCAAUUAAGUGUGAAACUGUUGCUGAUUGUCCAAAUAAUUUGUGUGCGCGUGGUUUAACACAGAAGUGUUAUUUUAAACGUUGUAUAUGUGUUUGAAUAACUACUCGUAUGAUAUGAGUGAUAAACCAAUAAAGUAUAAAAAAUUAAUAUUGUGUUAGAAUAUUCAAUGAGUUGGCCCCUAAUAAUUUAAUUUAAUUUAAUUUUAGAUAUCUUGCUUUGAAUUUGUACUUUGAGGUUAUAUUAAUAAUGUGAAUUGGCAUAAAAAUAUAAUACAGAUUUUUUUUUGUCUCUCAUAAUUUUUUAUCAUAUUGAAAACUUGAGUUUCAAAUCAAGUGAUUACAAUGGAUCCUGUACAUACUUCUCCCAUUUCUAACUCGAUGGUUUAUUCAAACUCCAAAUGAUGAUGGACACCUUAUUUCCGAGGUGGGUUUUUUUGGGGUUUUGAUGGGCCACACUAUAGAGUAAGAUUGUCCACACUAUAGAAAAUUCAACAAGGAUUUACUCUUUUGGAUGUGAUGUAGAAUACAUUCUCAUGCUCUUACUAAGUUCGGCAUUUGAGUGCUAACCUAGCAGGUCAGCCCCUUCUCCGUCGCACUAGAAGCUCAACUCCACCGUAGUAAAACAUCACCUCCUCCUUCACAGAAAGAUCUUGUUCCUAAAUAGAACACGAACGCCGCCUAUGGAAAACUAUCUCUGAUUUACUCGAAUUUAUAUGAAAAACUACAUUUUUCGUCGAAGAUCUAAAUCUUUGAUUUUCAUCAGCUGAAUCAUUGAUCCAUUCUCCCGUUAUUUUGAUAUCAACUUUCUAAGAUUAUGUCAACAUCAAGAAACACUCGAUUUGCAAAAGAUGAUGCAACCAUAGCUCAAUCACUUCCUCUAGAAGUUGAAGAUCCAGUCAUAGUGACCUCUUCAUCUUAUCCAAUGCUGGAAGAUCUGAUUCCCUCAAGAGUCCUCUAGAAAACAAUCCAAGGAAAGCCAUCAAAUCACAGUCCCUUCCAACCCCUAGCACUUGGACAUGAGGCAUUUCCCGAUCUUCAACUAUUGUAAGUUAGUCUAGGUGUGUAAGGAACACCUGAUUUAUUGAAUAACAUGCACAACUUGAUCCAUCAACAAAAUUCGCAAGUCUUGGCUGAUAGGAUCUUGAGGGUUGAAGAGAACUUGCGAUUUUCUCCUCCAAGAAAUAGUAGCGUACGUGGGGCGGCCUCUUACACCCAGUCGACCACCAUUCUAAAGCCGAUCCCGACUAGAACGCUUACAUUACAUGAAUAAGCUCCACAGUUCCCACACAUACACCGGAUUGGGAGGUAUCCUUCAGUGAUUCUGAGGGAAGAAGUGGAAAUCAUGUACUAACUAAGGUUCACCAUUUUCGAAGAAGAGAAAAGCUUAAUGGAGACACCCUGGCUCCAGAGAGAAAAAGAAUCUUGCUAUAUGCGCAUGUGUUGACAUUAAAGUUCCAAGAUUCCUAUAGAAGCAUCUGAAGCUGCCUAUUACAAACCAUACCAUCCAUAAUUCUUCCACUCCCACUUGAAUAAGGAGUAGUGUCAUACCCUAAUUUUCGGCCAUAAGAUCCCCCAAUCAUUUUGCAUUCCUACCACAUAUCAAGACCACAAUCUUGAGCUGGAUCUUUAGUUUGAUGCUCAUCUUGCCUUUAGGGAAAUCACCAAGCACCCAUGUUUGUUUAGUUUGUGAAUAUUUCUUUGUUAUAUUAUACUAAUCAAAAUACAAAAAAUAUAUCUCGUGUCUUUCAUUACUUUGUGCAUUGUAGGUGUUGAAGCAAGGACAUUCAUCUCCUCACCUAAACUAAGUUCUUGAGGAUCGACUCUCAAUCAACUGGUUAUCCAUGGAAGCUUGAUGGAUUAGACUUAAAAAGAUACAUCCUUAUCAUGAAAAUGUUAUGUCCAUGAUUUCUUCAAUAAGUUUCAUUUUAUCAAGUUCAUCUCAAGAUCAUGUGGCUUGAUUUUCAUCAAGAAACUCCAUAGAUUCAUGUGUUUAAUUCCAUGCUUCCUUCAAUAAGUUUCAUCAAGCUACGAGCCUCAUCAUCAAGUGUGCUUUUAGAAAAUAUCAUUUCAAGGUCUUAUAUAUCUCCUCGU